rfam:Triticum aestivum genome assembly, contig: Triticum_aestivum_CS42_TGACv1_scaffold_392841_5AS
CAAGUACUCCCCCGUCCCAAAAUUCUUGUCUUAAAUUUGUCUAAAUACGAAUGUAUCAAGUCACGUUUAGUAUUAGAUACACCUAUAUCUAGACGAAUGUAAGACAAGAUUUUUGGAACUGAGGGAGUAUCUU